rnacentral:rRNA from 1 species
UCCUUUGAGUUUAAACCUUGCGGCCGUACUCCCCCAGGCGGUCGACUUAUCGCGUUAGCUGCGCCACUAAGAUCUCAAGGAUCCCAACGGCUAGUCGACAUCGUUUACGGCGUGGACUACCAGGGUAUCUAAUCCUGUUUGCUCCCCACGCUUUCGCACCUCAGUGUCAGUAUCAGUCCAGGUGGUCGCCUUCGCCACUGGUGUUCCUUCCUAUAUCUACGCAUUUCACCGCUACACAGGAAAUUCCACCACCCUCUACCGUACUCUAGCUCAGUAGUUUUGGAUGCAGUUCCCAGGUUGAGCCCGGGGAUUUCACAUCCAACUUGCUGAACCACCUACGCGCGCUUUACGCCCAGUAAUUCCGAUUAACGCUUGCACCCUUCGUAUUACCGCGGCUGCUGGCACGAAGUUAGCCGGUGCUUAUUCUGUUGGUAACGUCAAAACAGCAAGGUAUUAACUUACUGCCCUUCCUCCCAACUUAAAGUGCUUUACAAUCCGAAGACCUUCUUCACACACGCGGCAUGGCUGGAUCAGGCUUUCGCCCAUUGUCCAAUAUUCCCCACUGCUGCCUCCCGUAGGAGUCUGGACCGUGUCUCAGUUCCAGUGUGACUGAUCAUCCUCUCAGACCAGUUACGGAUCGUCGCCUUGGUAGGCCUUUACCCCACCAACUAGCUAAUCCGACCUAGGCUCAUCUGAUAGCGUGAGGUCCGAAGAUCCCCCACUUUCUCCCUCAGGACGUAUGCGGUAUUAGCGCCCGUUUCCGGACGUUAUCCCCCACUACCAGGCAGAUUCCUAGGCAUUACUCACCCGUCCGCCGCUGAAUCCAGGAGCAAGCUCCCUUCAUCCGCUCGACUUGCAUGUGUUAGGCCUGCCGCCAGCGUUCAAUCUGAGCCAGGAUCAAACUCUU